CCGGCACGGGUGGAGUAACACGUAUGCAAUCCACCCUGUAACAGGGGGAUAACCCGGAGAAAUCCGGACUAAUACCCCAUAAUAUGGGCGCUCCGCAUGGAGAGCCCAUUAAAGAGAGCAAUUUUGGUUACAGACGAGCAUGCGCUCCAUUAGCCAGUUGGCGGGGUAACGGCCCACCAAAGCGACGAUGGAUAGGGGUUCUGAGAGGAAGGUCCCCCACAUUGGAACUGAGACACGGUCCAA
rnacentral:rRNA from 1 species